rnacentral:rRNA from 1 species
AGCGAACGCUGGCGGCAGGCCUAACACAUGCAAGUCGAACGGAUCCUUCGGGAUUAGUGGCGGACGGGUGAGUAACACGUGGGAACGUGCCCUUUGGUACGGAACAACUCAGGGAAACUUGAGCUAAUACCGUAUAAGCCCUACGGGGAAGAUUAUCGCCAUUGGAGCGGCCCGCGUCUGAUUAGCUAGUUGGUGAGGUAAAGGCUCACCAAGGCGACGAUCAGUAGCUGGUCUGAGAGGAUGAUCAGCCACAUUGGGACUGAGACACGGCCCAAACUCCUACGGGAGGCAGCAGUGGGGAAUCUUGCGCAAUGGGCGAAAGCCUGACGCAGCCAUGCCGCGUGUAUGAUGAAGGUCUUAGGAUUGUAAAAUACUUUCACCGGGG